GGAGGAUUUACGCUUCUCCAAGCUCAGGCAGAGAUGGUCCCUCAGCAGCCCUGUCAGUGGUGAUGGCUCACCCCCUCCUGGCCUCAUUACCCUCUGCUGGUGUGUUUCAUCCUCCUCUCCUGUGGUUCCCUGGAGUCUCACCAUCUGCUUAGGACGUUUGCCAGCAAGUGCUGUUUGGACAGAAGGUGCACUGGGUUCUCUGGGUCCAGGGAAGUCAGUUUCCCAUCAUCUCCAGAAGUGCCUUUCUAGGGGGUGCCCACUUCUCACAAGGACAGACUGUGUCUGGGAAUGGUGGCCCCAGGGCUGGCCUGGCAGGAACAGGGCAGCUGGGAGGGAUGAUCUGAGGCCAGCGGAGACACCCUCUUGGCAGCAACAGAUAAGACACUCGGAAACAAAGGGGGUCCUCAGGUAACCACAGCUGUGUGGUCCCCACAGCUCUGACGACCAAAGACAAAGCAGGUGGUAUGAAGUGGCAUCUCCAGUUUGAAGUUAAAAUAGUAAUCUUCCCAGUAUGCCCUUUCCUUAAUAAACCCCAAAGUCACUUUUAUGAUGGGAGGGUCUCACUGCCCAGUGACCUGUAGAUCAGUGGUCCUUAGGGUGGACUGUGACAUCCAUGAGGUCAAACCUAUCCCCAUAAUGAUAUUAAGAUUAUUUAAGGAAUUCCCGUUGUGGCUCACCAGGUUAAGAACCCAACGUAGUGUCUGUGAAGGGUUUGAUCCAUGGCCUCAGUCAGUGCCACGAGGUAUGGCAUAGCAGGCAUUGCUGUGGCUCCGCCGGCCUACACCACAGCCACAGCAACACAGGAUCCGAGCCGCAUCUGCGACCUACACCAUAGGUCAUGACAAUGCCAGAUCCUUAACCCACUGAGCAAGGCCAGGGAUCGAACCCACAACCUCGUGGUUCCUAGUCGGCUUCGUUAACCACUGAGCCACGACGGAAACUCCUCUAUCAUCACAUUUUUGAACAUCCCUGGUCCUGGUUCUGUCAUAAGGAUCUGAAGUCACUGUCCUCCUCGAAUUCUGUAGUUAUGAGUAUGUAGGUGGCGAUGGUAGGCGCAGGCAUGGGAGGGCUUGGGUGGGAUUGUGGGAAGAGUAACAUCCAUUUGCUGCAUCGUAGUGACACCAGUUUUCACUUAAAGGCAACACCCGAAGCCCUUUAUCAAAGCUCUGAAUGCUACAUGGACUAUUUGAAGGACCCUAUUUCUUUGAGUUGCAGUAAGUUCCUUCAUAUUUUCUGAAGAUUAAAAACAAUCAUCGUAGCGAGAAUGACUUUUUUAAACUUUAUGCAGAGGAUGUUAUUGUUUAUGACUCAUUAUCAUUUAAGACAUACUAAGCAUCCUCCGAAAGUGAUUUUUAGGCACAAGCUCAGAAGGUUGGUCCAAGGAUCGUGGCGCACAACCACAGAGAACAGUUCAAGGAAGGGGAGGUGAGCAUAAUCAUGGUGACAAGAGGAAGAACGAGAAACACCGGGGAUGGGGGGUUGUUUGUUUUUUGCUUUUGUUUGUUUUGCUGGCUGAAGUUCCCUGGCCGGGGUCAAAACUGCACCACAGCUAUAACCAGAGCCACAGCAGUGACAAUGCCAGAUCCUUAACCCCCUGAGCUGCCAGGGAAUUCCCUGAGAAACGCUACAUUUCCAUCUUGCUCCUACUCCAGUUAAUAGAAUGAAAAUGAUGUCUCCAUUUGAUCCCCAUCCCCCACCCCAUGGUGAUUCAUUAUGGACAGGAUGUCUUUUUACUAGAAAAGCUUAUCUUCUCUAAGAAAGCAGUUCUGGUUUGCUUGGCACACACUGACCGUGAACAUUCAGCCUCUUCCUUAAAGAGUCAAAAGGAGAGUGUGAGGAGGGCGCAAGGAGAUCCAGGGUCAUGAUGGCCACAUUAUUUCUUCCUAGAAUAACAUACUCUUUGCUGGUUGCCAGCCUGCUUAUUUUUAUGUAGAUUUGACCUCGGUUGCAGCCUUGAACAACUAAAAUAGAAUAAAAUAACUAUAAGCUACUUCAAAAAGCUUGACCUUAAGAGUAUAUAAAAAUAUAAGACAAAGGCAGGAAAACAAACCGAGCCACAGCUUCGAGCAAAGAAUAAGUGAGCUUCUUGAGUCUAGUUAAAAUAUCAGCUCUGUGCAUAUUAGAUUCCAUCCUGUGUUUGAUGAUUUCGGCAGUGAGUGCUGCCUUUAUCGAUUGUUAGAGUGGAAUGUUCCAGAGCAUUAUAUUACAAUCUGUCUCCAAAUGGCUUUUCAGAAAGAAAUUUCCUGUAACUCAGAGGCAGAAAUUAUGCAGGGACCUAAAAAGGAAGAGACUAGACAGCUGAAUUUCACCCAGACUUUUGCAAAUGGGAAAGUAAGUGACGGAGUGUGCCCAGAGAGAGCCUGGAUUGGUUUUCUUAGUAAAGGUCAGUUUCAGUUUGUUAUUAUUGCCCCACCAGAAGCUGUGCUAAAUACUGCUACAUAAAGCAAACUGGCGAAGGUUGUGGCUUUGAGGGUCACAGUCCCUUAAAGAUGCCUUGGAGCUCAGGGUCUCUUAGCUCAAGCUUCUUCCUUCAUUUAUCUCUUUUUCAUCCAACUGCCUCCUGCAUGUUCUUGCCUCCACCUCACCUCCUCCAUGCAGCCCCUGUCCUCUUUCCUUGACCGUCUCGCUUCUCUGAAACCACGACAUUUUGCACCACCGCAUGCCAUUUACAUAUUAUUUUCUAACACUUACAUAUGCAUUGAUUUUAUUUUACAUUUAGACUACCACAUUAAGGAUGUGUCUUACACAAUGCGUAUCCUCUAAAGAAUUCUAAUGCAUUGUGCAGAGGCCAAGGGCUCGCUGUGUGUGUGUGUGUGUGUGUGUGUGUAUGAGUGUGCAUGUGCACGCCUACUGCCCUACAUUGUUUUCUUUAGUCAAAGAUGUGGAUUUUCUAAAUUAUUAAUAUUUGGGUUGUGUAUUUAAGAAACUUCAACUCACCUCAGCUUAAACAAAAAGAGUGGUUUAUUGGCUCAACAUGACUGAAAAAUUUAGUUUUGGUUUCAAGUAAGGUUCAACCCAGUGGUUUAAGGAUGUCAAAACAGACCUGAUUCCUUUCUGUCUGCUUUGCCUUCCAUGAACUUGACUUUGCCCUGUGAUUCUUUUCAUCUCAGGACCGCAGCUCGCAGCUCCUGGUGUAUAUAAUAUGUGCAUCCUUAUUCACAUGCAGAGGAGAGGGCAUCUGAGUCCCAGGGUUCCCAACAGAAGUGCUAAGAAUCUGUUGGACUAGCUUAAGCUGCAUGCUCACCCCUGCGUAGAAAGGAGUAUGGAUACACAGAUUAGCCUAGAUUAGCCUCCUGAGAUGAUAUGAAUCCCCACAUGGAAAUUGGGAAGGUCAAGUUAGUGUAUGGGAACUUGGAAGGCUACCAACAAAUGCUAUACAACUUCCGCUGACUUUGUUUAUCAACCUCCCACCGUCUGCUAAUAUCUCAUCUCAUAUAGAAAGGAUCUGUUCUCUGCCUUCCAGGCAUUUUUUUCUAGAGAAAAUAAAAGGAAUCAAUGCAUAACAUUGGCAUCAGCUGGCCGCCAGAGACUUUGAUAAAUUCUCUUGUUACCACAUCACUAACAGGGUUUUCCCGGGACUGUAGUUCCCUCCUAUUCACUCUUCAUCACUGCAGUGGAGGGAGGGAGGGAGAGAAGGAAGGAAGAGAGGGAGAAAAAAAAGGGAGGAAGAAAAGGAAGGAGAUAGGGAGGGAAGCAAUGUACUUUAGCUUAGAGGCUUAAACAAAUCCCCAUGACUCUGGUUCACCCAGGCUUGGGGAGACUUCCUGGGCCAGGUCUGUCAGAACACAGCAUUGAGAAUGUAAACGGAAGAGUCAACGUCAUUUGCUGGGCUUCCUUGCUACUUCUCUGCUAGAGGAACACCAGAUAUUUUUGAGUGAAAGACUGGGUUCCUGGAGGUGACACUCCCCUCAAGUAUGAAGCCUGUUCCUUCUUGGCCCCAUUUAAAACCUCUGCAGGGGGAGGCCACAUGAUUUCAAUUUCUGUGCUUCUAUUUCUGACAAGAUCUGGGGCAUUCUUGUUGUCAGGAAUAAGCUAUCGGUUGAUGACAGGACAAAAAUGUACUUUCAGUGUGUGUGAUUGACCAAGCAAAGCCCCGUUUUCAGAACAUUUGCUCACGGAAGCUCAGAACGAGAGGGAAGGCGAUGGUCAUGACUGCACUGAUUUUGGAAUAAUCAUCUCGCCAUCUGAGAAAGUCAAGCUUGGAUUUGAACUGAGUGUGGGAGGGGGCGGCAGGCGGGGAAGAAGAUAAACCUCUUCAGAAGGAGAGUCUGUGUAGAAGAAAGAAAUGCUUCCACAUCCUCUCGCCAGACACCUGUUCUUUUUUAGUAUAAACUCCAGCCUUGGACACAGUAUGAAGAACCUUCACUUUGCACCACCAUAUCUGAAAAGAUAAUUAACAAAACAUCAAAGAAAGGAAGAAAAGGGGGCGGAAUGAGGAAUUCUUUCUUUGGCAAAAAGAUUUCUGCAGGGAUCAUUUCAAGAACAAACCCCCCUUGGUCUUGGGAGAUAGUUCAACUUCCCAGACUUUUCCAGAACCCAGCUCUUUUGUAAAAGGAGCUGGAGGUAAGAUGCAGUGUUUAGCAGCUUGUUGAAGCUUGAAUAAAAAUGCGGAGUGCUUGCUUCAUCUGCCUCCUUAAAGACGACUUCAGCUUAAAGAGACGUUAAACUCACUUUUCUUUAGUGCCUUAUUAAAGUGAUUGUGUCGAAAGAGAUCCAGAAGAUAGGAACAGUUCUUGCUUUUUGGAAGGAAUCAUAUCAGAUGAAAGAGGCAUAGGCUUUGCUGAAACCCCAAACGAUGUUUAAAGACACAUUGUUCCAUGGUCUCUUAAGACCUGUCUUGACAGGAAGAUGCUGCCUAGGUCUAGUCCUGUCAUUCAGAGGUGAGGGGGUUGCGUUAGCCCAUCCAGAGGGGCCCUUCAGGCCCUGUCAGUCUCAGAGUCUGUGCGCCUGGGUCAGCCAAGUGAGAAUCAAGGACCACACAAUGCAAGCAUUCAACCGGUGGUUUGAUCCCGCCAAGCCUCCUGGGCGCUGACAGUUCCAGUGGCAUGAAGCAGUUCCUACAGUCUCUGCACUGUUUGUGGCAUUCGAGUUGCCUGCUAACUACUUUCUCCUGCGCAAAAUGCCUGUCAAAGACUGCUCGACAAUCGCUAAUUUAGCCAAGUCGUUCGUAUCUGAUAUUUAGACAAGAUAAGCUGAAGGUCUUUGUGGAAGCUCAUUACUAAAAGAUUAUUUCUGAGCAAGCGGGUGCUGUCUGGACGGUGACAGCAUGGUAGAGGCCUGAUAAGUAGCCCUGAUGGGCUUUAAGUUCUUAAAGGAGUGUCCCGAGAUGGAUGUUGGCCUGUAGCAGAAGUUGCACUCUCGCUGCAAGAUAGUUUUCCCAGCUACGAUGCAGCUGGAAAUCCCGUCAACCAGAUCCUUCCAGCACUACCAGGCUCCAUUCUGGGCAUCAGGUGCCAGUGGGCCCACAGAGGACCUUGGGAAAGGCACAGAGGAGACCAGGAAAUCUGAUUAAGAGAUUGGAAAAAUAACGUAAGAAGGAAGCUGAUAUAAAGGCCUUGGAAUUAUUUAGCUCAAGGGAGGAAGAAAGGGGAAAAAAAAGGUUGUUCUAAACUGCAACUCUAUGAUCAGAGAAAUUGGCCAAAAUAGAUGAUCAUUUUAGCCCUAGAAUAUAUGAUUCUGUGAUGCUACUGGCCUUACCCAAAACACCAGUUAUUCAUCCAUGUGAGUGACAGGGACAACCACUCACCGGUCUCUUCAGCCUCAUUUGGAAGAGGCAGGAGUGAGACCAAAGCUCCUUACUCUUAGCCAUGGGUCUCAAGGGAGAGAAAACUUUAUGCCACCAUCCAAGCUGGGAUCGUCACAGUUUCCAGAUGCUCAGGAAUCAAUGUCCUCACGCCUGUCACCUUCUGGCCAUCUCUGGGAAUAUAUGAUGGUGGAAAGAGAAUCAAUAUGAGAUCUUUAAGUUUAAUUUCUGUUUAAUUAAUUCAACAAAUAGUGAGCACCUCCUUCUGCUGGGCAGUGUUCUAGGUACUGGGGAAAUAGGAAUAAAGGAAAGACCCAACUCCAUCUUCUCCAUGUGUACGUUUCAUAAGAAGACUGACACUGACAGAUGAAUGAUACAGAGUGUGGGCGCUAAUGUAAAAUGUUUUGAAGGAAUGAGGGCCUUGAACAGCAGAACCUGGGUCAUCAGAAAGAGAAAAGCAGGAGUUCCCGUCGUGGCGCAGUGGUUAACGAAUCCGACUAGGAACCAUGAGGUUGCAGGUUCGAUCCCUGCCCUUGCUCAGUGGGUCAAGGUUUCGGCGUUGCCGUGAGCUGUGGUGUAGGUCGCAGACGCGGCUCGGAUCCUGCAUUGCUGUGGCUCUGGCGUAGGCUGGCAGCUACAGUUCUGAUUCGACCCCUAGCCCCGGAACCUCCAUAUGCCGCAAGAGCGGCCCAAGAAAUGGCAAAAAGACAAAAAAAAAAAAAAAAAAA
rnacentral:lncRNA from 1 species